GGGAAACUGAGGAUAAUACCCCAUAGGUGUGGUAUGCUGGAACGCUUCCACGCUAAAAGCUCCGGCGCUUCAGGAUGAGUCUGCGGCCUAUCAGGCUGUAGUGGGUGUAACGGACCCACUAACCUACGACGGGUAGGGGCGUUGAGAGACGGAGCCCCCAGAUGGAUUCUGAGACACGAAUCCAGGCCCUACGGGGCGCAGCAGCUACGAAAACUGCACAAUGUGGGAAACCACGAUGCGGGCAUUCCGAGUGCCAAGGCAUUGCUUUGGCUGUUCUCUCGCCUAAAAAGCGAGAGAAGUAAGGGCCGGAUAAGACGGGUGCCAGCCGCCGCGGUAAUACCCGCGGCCCGAGUGGUGCUCAUUAUUAUUGAGCUUAAAGCGUCCGUAGCCGGCCUCGUAAAUCUUUGGGUAAAUCGGGCAGCUUAACUGUUCGAAUUCCGAGGAGACUGCGGGGCUCGGGACCGGGAGAGGUUCGAGGUACUCAGGGGGUAGGGGUAAAAUCCUGUAAUCCUCAGAGGACCACCAGUGGCGAAGGCGUCGAACUAGAACGGAUCCGACGGUGAGGGACGAAGCCCUGGGGCGCAAACGGGAUUAGAUACCCCGGUAGUCCAGGGUGUAAACGCUGCGGGCUUGGUGUCGGAGGUCCUACGUGGGCGUCCGGUGCCGGAGAGAAAUUGUUAAGCCUGCCGCUUGGGGAGUACGGUCGCAAGACUGAACUUA
rnacentral:rRNA from 1 species